rnacentral:rRNA from 1 species
GACAGAGGGUGCAAACGUUGUUCGGAAUUACUGGGCGUAAAGCGCGUGUAGGCGGCUAAGUAAGUCGGGCGUGAAAUCCCACGGCUCAACCGUGGAAGUGCACUCGAAACUGCAUAGCUAGAGUCCUGGAGAGGAAGGUGGAAUGCUUGGUGUAGAGGUGAAAUUCGUAGAUAUCAAGCGGAACACCGGUGGCGAAGGCGGCCCUUGACUGGACAGUGACGUGACGCUGAGACGCGAAAGCGGUGGGGAGCAAACAGG